UGGCCAGGCGAGUCGUAUAUUCUUGUGGU
rnacentral:piRNA from 1 species